UGGCAUACGGCUCAGUAACACGUAGUCAACAUGCCCAGGGGACGAGGAUAACCUCGGGAAACUGAGGAUAAACCUCGAUAGGCCAUGAUUUCUGGAAUGAUUCUUGGCUCAAACCUAUAUGGCCCCUGGAUUGGACUGCGGCCGAUCAGGCUGUUGGUGAGGUAAUGGCCCACCAAACCUAUUACCGGUACGGGCUCUGAGAGGAGGAGCCCGGAGAUGGGCACUGAGACAAGGGCCCAGGCCCUAUGGGGCGCAGCAGGCGCGAAACCUCUGCAAUAGGCGAAAGCUUGACAGGGUUACUCUGAGUGAUUUCCGCUAAGGGAAUCUUUUGGCACCUCUAAAAAUGGUGCAGAAUAAGGGGUGGGCAAGUCUGGUGUCAGCCGCCGCGGUAAUACCAGCACCCCGAGUGGUCGGGACGAUUAUUGGGCCUAAAGCAUCCGUAGCCGGUCCUGCAAGUCUUCCGUUAAAUCCAGCUGCUCAACAGAUGGGCUGCGGGAGAUACUACAGGGCUAGGAGGCGGGAGAGGCAAGCGGUACUUUAUGGGUAGGGGUAAAAUCCGCUGAUCCAUAGAAGACCACCAGUGGCGAAGGCGGCUUGCCAGAACGCGCUCGACGGUGAGGGAUGAAAGCUGGGGGAGCAAACCGGAUUAGAUACCCGGGUAGUCCCAGCUGUAAACGAUGCAGACUCGGUGAUGGGUUGGCCUCGCGCCUGCCCAGUGCCGCAGGGAAGCCGUUAAGUCUGCCGCCUGGGGAGUACGGUCGCAAGACUGAAACUUAAAGGAAUUGGCGGGGGAGCACCACAAGGGGUGAAGCCUGCGGUUCAAUUGGAUUCAACGCCGGA
rnacentral:rRNA from 1 species